GGUUAUGGCCAUGCCACCCUGAACAAGCCCAAUGUCUGAUCUCAGAAGCUAAGCAGGGUUGGGCCUGGUUAAUACUUGGAUGGGAGACCACCUAGGAAGACCAGGUGCUGUAGGCA
rnacentral:rRNA from 1 species